CUCAAUUUUCUGAGCUCUGUGAAGCAAUAGAUAGAUAAAGGGUUUUCACUUGUUUUUAGGGAGCACUGAAAUCUCUCAUAGGAAGCACAGUAGAUAACAAUCAAGCAAACCCAGAGCUGCUCUGGAUAAAGCAGAGCCAUAAAGCCCUGGCUAGAGCUGGCUGAGAGGGGAGGGAAGAGAGGAGGCAUAGAGGAAGGCUUGGCUUGGCUGGAAGCUGGGUUCCAGUCUCAGUGGAAUAGGAGUGAAGGUGCCCUCCUCCCUGCUGGCCCAUUGGCCUGGUUCUGCUUUCAUGCAUGUCAGCUGCUGAGAUCUCCAUGCUGGACUGGACCCUCCCCCACCUCUCACCACACCCCAACUACGUGGCCCAGAGUAGCCAGGCCAGCUCCCAACCUCUGACCCUCUGGCUUCCCCAGCACUGGCAGCAGUUUGAGCCCCAGUUGACCCUGUGGGACAUGUUUGGAGCGAACAAAGAAGUGCAGGAGCUGCUGGAGCGGGGCCUACUGCAGCUGGAUCACAGGGGUCUUCGGUGUUCCUGGGAGGGUCUGGCUGUGCUGGACUCUCUCUUGCUGACCCUCUUGCCUCAGCUCCAAGAGGCCUGGCAGCAGAGAACCCCCUCCCCUGUGCCAGGAGGAUGACA
rnacentral:sRNA from 1 species